GACGAACGCUGGCGGCGUGCCUAAUACAUGCAAGUAGAACGCACAGUUUAUACCGUAGCUUGCUACACCAUAGACUGUGAGUUGCGAACGGGUGAGUAACGCGUAGGUAACCUGCCUGGUAGCGGGGGAUAACUAUUGGAAACGAUAGCUAAUACCGCAUAAUAUUAAUUAUUGCAUGAUAAUUAAUUGAAAGGUGCAAUUGCACCACUACCAGAUGGACCUGCGUUGUAUUAGCUAGUAGGUGAGGUAACGGCUCACCUAGGCGACGAUAAAUAGCCGACCUGCUAUGGUGGUCGGCCACACUGGGACUGAGACACGGCCCAGACUCCUACGGGAGGCAGCAGUAGGGAAUCUUCGGCAAUGGACGAAAGUCUGACCGAGCAACGCCGCGUGAGUGAAGAAGGUUUUCGGAUCGUAAAGCUCUGUUGUAAGAGAAGAACGGGUGUGAGAGUGGAAAGUUCACACUGUGACGGUAUCUUACCAGAAAGGGACGGCUAACUACGUG
rnacentral:rRNA from 1 species